UACGGGGGGGGCAAGCGUUGUUCGGAAUUACUGGGCGUAAAGGGCUCGUAGGCUGCCAACUAAGUCAGACGUGAAAUCCCUCGGCUUAACCGGGGAACUGCGUCUGAUACUGGAUGGCUUGAGAUCGGGAGAGGGAUGCGGAAUUCCAGGUGUAGCGGUGAAAUGCGUAGAUAUCUGGAGGAACACCGGUGGCGAAGGCGGCAUCCUGGACCGGCAUUGACGCUGAGGCGCGAAAGCUAGGGGAGCAAACGGG
rnacentral:rRNA from 1 species